AUUGAACGCUGGCGGCAGGCCUAACACAUGCAAGUCGAGCGGAUGAAGGGAGCUUGCUCCUGUCUUCAGCGGCGGACGGGUGAGUAAUGACUAGGAAUCUGCCUGGUAGUGGGGGAUAACGUCCGGAAACGGGCGCUAAUACCGCAUACGUCCUGAGGUAGAACGUGGGGGAUCUUCGGACCUCACGCUAUCAGCUGAGCCUAGUUCGGAUUAGCUAGUUGGUGGGGUAAAGGCCUACCAAGGCGACGAUCCGUAACUGGUCUGAGAGGAUGAUCAGUCACACUGGAACUGAGACACGGUCCAGACUCCUACGGGAGGCAGCAGUGGGGAAUCUUGGACAAUGGGCGAAAGCCUGACCCAGCCAUGCCGCGUGUGUGAUGAAGGUCUUCGGAUUGUAAAGCUCUGUAAGUUGGGAGGAACGGCAGUAAGUUAAUACCUUGCUGUCUUGACGUUACCAACAGAAAAAGCACCGGCUAACUUCGUG
rnacentral:rRNA from 1 species